rnacentral:lncRNA from 1 species
CCAGUAUCCAGAAUAUAAAAAGAACUCUUAGAAUUCAGCAAAGAAAAAACUCCAAAUAAAAAUCGGAGGAUUUGAAUAAGCAUUUCUUCAAAGAAGAUACAUAAAUGUCCAAUAAACACAUAAAAAGAUGCUCAACAUCAUUAGUCCUUAGGGAAAUGCAAAUCAAAAUCACAGUGAGAUACCACUUCAUACCCACUAGGAUGGCUAUAAACAAAAAGGUGGACAAUAACAAGUUUUAGUAAGGCCAUGGAGAAAUUGAAACCCAAUUGCUGGUGAGGAUGUAUGAACUAUACAAUGCUGGCUCAGCUGUUUUGGAAAACAGAUUGGCAGUUCCUCAAAAGGUUAAACCUAGAGUUACCACGUGACCCAGCAAUUCCAGUCCCAGGUACCUAAGAGAAUUGAAAACAUACGUCCACACAGGGGCUGGCCCCAUGGCCGAGUGGUUAAGUUCGCGCGCUCCGCUGCAGGCGGCCCAGUGUUUCGUUGGUUCGAAUCCUGGGCGCAGACAUGGCACUGCUUGUCAGACCACGCUGAGGCAGCGUCCCACAUACCACAACUAGAAGAACCCACAACGAGAAAUAUACAACUAUGUACUGGGGGGCUUUGGGGAGAAAAAGGAAAAAAUAAAAAAAAAAUAAAAAAUAAAACAUACGUCCACACAAAAACUUGUAUGCAAAUAUUCAUAUUCAUAACCAAAGAGGAGAAACAACUCAAAUGCUUAUCAGUCGAUGAAUGGAUGAAUACAAUGUGGUAUAUCCAUAUGAUAGAAUAAUACCAACCAUAAAAGGAAUGAAGUACUCACGCAUGCUACAACAUAGAUGAACUUUGAAAACAUGACAGAAGCAAGACACAAAAGACCUCGUAUUAUAUGAUUCCAUUUAUAUACAAUGUCCAAAUCAGCAAAUCCAUAGACACAGAAAGUAGAUGAAGGGUUUCCACGGUCUAGGGGGAGGAGAAAGUGAGUAGUGACUGCUAAUGCAUGUGGGGUUUCUUUUUGGGGUGAUGGAAAUGGUCUGGAGUUAGUGGGAAUGAUUGCACAAGCUUGUGAAUAUACUAAAACCCACUGUAUUGUACACUUUAAAUGGAUGAAUUUUAUGGCAUGUGAAUUAUAUCUCAAUUUUAAAAUCAAAGCCAGUGAUGCAACUUCCUUUACAUAUCUGUCAAUAAACUAUUUUUGGAUAGACUAACAAUCCUUCCAGAAGCCAUGAAUGGCACUGCUGUCACUGUGGCUAUGAAACGGAUGGAAACUCAGUUAACAGCUCAUCUGGUUUCGGAAUCUGUUCUCGAUGGUUAACAGCAGCAUCAGGCCAAUAGUACAGUAAUUUAAAAAUCUCAGCUGGUGAGCAUUCCCACUCUCUUAAUCCAUUGAUCAAACAGUCACCAUUCCACUGAGGGCCCCCAAGGACCAAGGUCCACUGCAAGUAGAACACCAUGAAAUUAAUGUGUUCGAAAAUAUAAUCAAGUGAAAAAUUCUGUAGAAUACUAGGAAAUACUCUUCUGUAAAGUACUUGGAAAUGAUAUUUGCUUUUUUCCUAGUUUGCAAUACUGCGUUUUGGUACCAUUCUUUACCUAAAACAAAAAUGUUCAGGGAGGUAUUCUUUACUAAAGGUCCUAUCUUUUCAGCAUAAUUAUUAAUUAGUUGUGUAUGUUUUAUCAGGCAUUCCAAAAGUACCUCCUUAAUCCAAGGCGGCUCACGAUUCUCUGAAAUUGAUAUGUCACUGCUAGAUUUACUGACCAAACAAUUACAUCCUCUGUGGGGGUCUACAGUCUAAUUCAGUGGACCAAAACCAUGUCUAGAUUUUAAGUUAAAAGGUAGAGAAUUUUAAAUUGUAUGUAAGAAGCAGUAGUUACAUCUUGUUCUCUUCAGGUAUGUGUUCUUUAUUUUUAGUCGAUUGGGCUGGUAAAGAAUUCUAUGAGAAAAAACAUAAAAUCCAGCUGUAACAUUAUUCGUGUGAUCUUACUAUUUGAAAUAAUCCAGGUAAAUUGUGUUUCGAGCUCUUUCUGAGUCUGGUACAUCGAUUAUACGAUCUGAUCUUGCAUCAAAGCCCUCAGCAGACUACCCUCCCAGGGAAAACCCGCUCUUUUUUAGCUACUAUAGGAAUAUGCCUUAACCCCAGUCUUCCUGCAAGGAUUCUCUAUCAUAUAAUAUUUUUUAUAGUUUAUAAUUCUUAUUAAAGUAGCCUUAUUCUGAUUACAAAAGCAACACUGCAGCCUAGAGAAAAGUAUAAAGAAAAAGCUUACCAUCCCAGCAAAACCCCCAUCUUUUGAUAAGUAUUUGUCUAUCUUUCCACUCUUUUCUACGCCUCCCACACGCAUACAUGUGGAUUUACUUAAAUGGUAUCUUAGUAUACAUACGAUUUUAUAACCUGCUAUCUUUACCUCAUAUAUCGUGAAAAUCCAUAUCAAUAAAUACAAAUAUACAUAAUCACUGGCUGCACAGUGCUACAUUUCUACCAAUAUUAUUUAAUAUGUUAUAUAUAUACUUAAUAUAUUUUUAAACAAAAAGUUUUUUUCUAUUGUAUUUGAAAAUAGUAAUUUCUUUCCAUGUCUUCCUCCAUGUAGUACCAGUUUAUUUGGGAAGGCAGAUGGGAGAUUAACUCUUUCAUAAGCAAGUAUUAGAUUGCCACUACUUUUACAAACACACUUGAUUGGUCUAGCUCUUUUCAACCAGAGCAAUCUUGGAAAACUCUAUCCUCUUCUUUAAUGUCAAAUUCGCUGUGACCAGAGCCCUCAAAUAGGGUGCUAACUGUUUAGUACGCCAUGACCACUUAGAGUUUUCAGUAAAGAGGUUUCCCCAAAACGUUUCCACUUGGCGUAUUUUUUUUAAAACAACAAGAAGAAAAAUGACCUGGGAUUUGAUCAAUUAAGCUUUUGUUUAAUGUUAAAUUUACAGCAUUGAUUUACAUCAAAUUUGUGGCCAAAAUAUUUAUAGUUAGCAUAAUCGUCUGGGGUCACAGCAAAAAUAAGAGAUGGAAUCUAGCUUUAAAAGGAGCAGCUCACAGAAAGAGCUGCAUUACUGCCAGUGAGAAAACGAGAAAACGGCAUUGAGAAGAUGAGGGGAACAGCAGGAGGGCGUGAGUCAGCCGUAGAGGAGCAAACCGCACCCUUGGGGGAGUCUUCAUGGCUCCCAUCCAAGCGGCUGAGGAGCUCUGCAGACUUAGGAAAUGUGAAGAGUAAAGAGAUCAGAGUAAGGAGAAAAGACAAGGGGGAAAAUGCUGAAAAGUACCACUGCUUCAGGAAGACGGCAUUGCUUAAAACAGAAACGAGCCUGAUUUGACCAGUACCUGUGUUUUCUUUCCAUCCUCUUUCCUUCAACUAUAUGUAUCCUGUUUAGUAAAAUAGAAUCCAAAUUUAAGGAAAGAAAUUGAAUUUGGUACCAUUGGUCCCCUCCUCUGCCUCUAGCCAACCACAGUCCUGGACUCACAGCGCCCUGACUUUGCUGGAGUCAGGUGCUUACCUCUCAGCAGCCGAUACUGCUUACGGGCUGGGGGAGUGUGGCCUUGUCUUGAUGGCCACGGUGGUUGUGGUUCUUCUGAAGAACCCAGACUGAAGGUGAGCACAUCUCUGUCUACCCUGUAGGAGGCUAAGCUACGUGACUAUUUGAAGAUCAAGAGAAGCCUGAGGUUUUGCAGGCCUUUAGACAAGCCCUAACUGAAUGAGAUAAUAUACAGUCUCAGAAGAAAUGGCUCACGAUCCUUUACAGAAGGUCCCUGGAUUUGCAGUGCUUGGCAGAGGAAGAGACAUGGGGAAAUACCGAAACUCACUCUAAAGGUAAACAUGGAAAUGUGAGAUUAAAGAGCAUCUGAUACCACAAAUAUCAAAAAGAAAGCAAGAAAUAACUUGAUUUUUGCCUGUGCCUGUGGCCACCUCAAGGAUUUGUCUUCACACGCCACCUUCCUUUGGGACAGUCCUGCCCAGUCCCUUAUCUUUGCGUGGAUCUCACUGAUGCAUCGGAAUUGGCAAGCUCAUCUCAGAGGAUGUGGAAAAUUCCUCAAAUAGCGUUCAGCAUGCCCCGCCCCACCUCACCCUCAGGUUUCUCACAGGCACCUUCUCAGCCCCUUUGCCAAACUUCUAGAUAAUUUGUGCAAAUGGGGAUAAUUUCUACUUCAGAUCAGUUACUCUAUUUCUAUUAGAUGAUUCCCAUUAUUUGUAUACAAGUAUUUUAGUGAUCUUAACCAGGCACUAUAGUGUCUAUAAUUUGCAAACUGCAUUUUCCACAUUACCAAUAUUAAAGUCACUUUAUUCUACUUGUAUACAAAGAAUCUUCUAGAAAAAUCUGAGCAUUUCAUUUGGACCACUUUUGCCUCAUGUUUUUCACUAGGGUCUUAAAGAUCUAAUCUAGCUAGAGCCUUCAUUUGAAAACAUGCCAUCUGGUAAUUUGCCACCAUAAGUUGCUGAGACACUGCACACUUCAUAGUUUUAGCUAAAUGGCUGCUUUCUUUUUUAACCUGCAGCUUCCUCAGAACACAACUUUUUAAUGUUAUUUUUACUAUUCGAAGUAACAUGCAAAGCAUUCACCUCUAAGUGAUAUCCUGUUACUCUCAAUAAAAGAAAAAAAAUCCAAAUGUAACUGAAAUCUAGGAAAGGAGCCCACCCAGACCAGCAAAAUCAGAGGGAAUUGAAAAAACAUUCAAUGCUCGCCAGGUUUGUAAAGUGUUUUUAAAAAUUCUCGUCCUAACCCAACCCCACCUUGUACUUAGGAAGAAGAAAUGCAGGGUAUAAAUAAUGAAGGAAUAGAAUAAAUAGAUAUGACAGUGAUAAUGUGUAUAAAAACAACCAUUCUUUAAGACUUGCGAAGUCAAUUCGUUAGCUAUGUUUUGCUCUCUAUGGAGGUUUAAGAAUAUUGAGAUGUAUAUCUGUUACACAAAAUCAUUCCUUCAGUUCUAAAAAUACUCUCCUGCUACUAACUCAAUUAAAAAAAAGUGCAGCAGGAAAGCUUAAUUAAGCUUUCUAGGUUGUUAAAACUCUGCUUCCAGAAAAAAAUGUACUAUUCUUAGAGUCCCACAGUCCAGUUGCAAGAAACAAGUAAUGUAUUAUCAGUCGAGAAAUGUUGGUUCCUUUCUUGUGCUCAGCACUAAGCCCAUUGCAUGAGGUUUAACUGAGCAAACCCGAGGCUGCUGGGCAGCUAAGGAGAACUUCGUUCUCCCAGUACCCUCAGCCUCAGGAGAGGAGAAUUGAUGAGAAGCCAAAUUCCUUCAGGAAAUUUGGGACUAGUUGAAACCAUCCUACCCCACCUUGCUUUGAUGAUGGCGACUGAUGAUAAGUUUUAAUUUUUCAGCACCUGGCCUUAACAGCACAGCUUCACAGCUCCAAAACAACAACAAAGAAAGAACUAAACACCAUUUGCAGAUUGGCAGGGCUGUUGCUGGCUUUGUGUUGGUUCCAAGGCUGUGCCCCAGGAGAUGGAGCCUGGGGACAGCGCAGGGUCCUGCAGGCACAGGGCUUGACUAAAGUACCAGUAAAGCUGGGUUUCAGGCCGGCUCCUCUGCCAGGCCCCGAGCAGAUCAGGCACAACUUGGUGUGCAGAUCUGCACAGAACCAAGUCUGCAACGACGAACAGCCCCAACGUCAGAAGAAACCAAGGCUUUCCAGUGGUCUAAACAACGAGUCAGAGCCUCAUAACAUCACAGCGAAGAACUACCGUCUCUCCUCAGAGGUCCGGAGAGAUUGGAAGCAGAGAUAUUUGGGCCCACCUCUGUCAAGAGGAAAACGGUGGCAACGGAAAAUUAGGAGAUAGAGCCAAGGUUUCCCAGUCUGAUCGUGAAAGAGUUGCAGCUAAAACUCCAUCCUUUCAUUCACUCCCAGGACGCACUUCAAAGCGGCAGAUCUGUGCUGGGCUCUGGGGACUAAAGGGUGAGCAGCACAGAGCUGGCGCCUGCCUUCAGGGCGCUGAUUUUCUAGGGAAAGAAAACAAACAGUAAACAAAAAUAUACCCAAAUGGAGAGUUACAAAGAAUGGCAAGCGCUAGGAAGGAAAAAGGAAGGUGCCAGGAAAGGGGCUAAAUGGGGCAGACGUGGCGGGGAGUCUGAAAGAUGAGAUGAAGCCAGUCGUGGGCAGAGUUCAGGGCAGAGGGCUAGCAAGCGCAUGGCUCGGAGGCAGGGAUGCGCCUGCGCGCUCGGGCCUGGGGAGCCCAGCGCCCAGGAGGGUGGCGAGCGCUGGGCAGACUGGGCCGACGCGGCGGGGCUGGCAGAGAAGCAGGACGGGAGGGGAGGGUCUGCCGGCAGCGCUGCUGAAGCGAUGGAGGUUUUCUCCCCGGGGACAAUGAGCAGCUGCGAAGCGUUUGGGGCAGGUCGUCGUUCCGUGCCACCUCUUGGUGUGAUGCGGCGGGCAAGAGAUGGGAGGCGGCUGAGCGUGGGACGCGGACAGAGGCCGCGGGAGUCGGGGGAGGGGUCAGGGAGAGUGCCGUGGCUGCUAGGCCAGACCGGAGAAGGAGAGAAACGGGCACAGCAGAGCGGAGAGGAGGAGGGAAACCGGGUAGGAAGGACGACGAGGGAGGGUGAGGCGCAGAGAGGUGGCCCGGGCGUCCACUGCAUCUUCCAGUUCCUGCUCCAUCUCUGUCUUGCUGUCCACGCCCCUUUGGUUUUGGUCUGUCCCUCUGUUCUCUUCAUCAACAGAGCGGUCUCCCU